AGCCAUUGAUCUUAUAUGUUGACUUGCACACAUCACAACAAUCAGUUCAAAUUUAAAAUUUAAAUCCCACAUUGAAAAACGAUGACAAUUACUGUUAUACACACUACUCAAUACAGAUUUAAAAACGUGUUCCUAUGUUCACCCCUUUCUCUUUCGCUCUCUGCAACAGAUUUUACUUUUUCUCGCUUUCUCUCUUCACCUGUAACACCCCGUUUUCCCAACAUUAAAAUUUCGCAUAAAUAAUCAGAGUUUUUCAACAUAAACGGAAUGUCACAUUCUUUCCUUAAAAUCCUAAACUGAAUAAAUAACAAUUUAUCAUUUAAAAAUUCAAAUACAAGAUCUUUAAUACUUCGCAGCGGAAUUUAUUCAAUAGCUAAAACAGUCUUUGGCACGAAGGCCUCUUCGUAAAUGUCGCAUAAAAAUCUAAUCUAAAAACAUAGUCAUAAAUCUUCAGAAACAAUACGUAAGGAAUAGAAAAGCAAUAACAAAGUUCUCAUCCCGUUACGUAUCAGAGCACCUAAGACACACGAGAAGGAAAGCUCACACGACAUCAACUAUUCUUGGUUACCUGUUAGUUGCCCAUGGUGGGCAAACAGAAGGGGUGAGAUUUCACAAAAAAUAAUAUUAAGCAUAUAAUUCAUCAAUUACAUUUAACAACAUAAGCAUCAUCAAUCAUAUUUAACAACUCAUAGACAACAUCAUGUAAUCAUCAUAAUAUUCAUCAUAGAUAAUAAUAUAUCAUAAUUCACUUCUUUAAUAGUUCAUAUAAAGAAUCACAGCUUUAAACAAUUUCAUGAUUUAACAACUUAACAACUCGACAACUUGAUAACUUGACAACUUGACAACUUAACCUCUUGACUAUGCAACUUAAUCUUCUAAUCAUGCAUGUGGUACCAAUCUUUGAGCGUAAAUAGGCUCCAGGGCAUCAAGCCCUCAACUUUAUUUGAGCGUAAAAAGGCUCCCAGGGCAUCAAGCCCUCAACUUAAUUGAGCAAAGGCUCCAGGGCAUCAAGCCCCCAACAAUGAAAUGCUAAUGCAUGGACUCGACCUCGUAAUAUCUUAAAUCGACAACCUCUUAUAUAAUCCAAUAAUUUGGAACUUCAUCAUCUUAAUCAACUUAGACCGACUCAUACAGCUUAGUUAAAUAACAACAGCAUCACAACAGUAUACAAAAACAGCAUGACAUAAUAAUAUCAAAUGCAAGUCAACAACGUCUCAAUUAUUCACAUAUAAUUCAAGUAAUGCAUAUACAAUUAUAUCACAAUAUAACAACAUCAAAUAAUAAUCAACAUCUUAAAACAUCAUAUAUACAUAUAACACUUCAUCAAUCAUGGACAAUAUCGUAUUCACAACAUAUACAUUCAUAUACUAGUUGAUCCAUCAUAUUCAAUUAUUCACUCUGACCUACGUGCAGUAAUUUGAGUAUAAAUCAAGUUCUAUAAAUCAUUUUGAAGUCAAACCAACGGCAUUAGAAAGCUAACAUUUAUACCUACAACUUUCGUGUUUACACCUAAGACCAAUUCUGUACCAAUCAAUACCAGUUUUCAUUUCAAAUUCGGACAAAGUUGUGCUGAAAUUCAUAAAAAUUCACUAAGACCUCCGUGCAGUAAUUUGACCAUAACUCAUAAACCAAAAAUCAUUUUCAAGUCAAACCGACGCCACUGUAAAGCUAACGCAAUUAUCUACAACUUUCAUGUUUACACCAAAGGCUAAUUCAAAACAGAAACGUGUGGAAAAGACGCAAGAACAUGAAACAGGACAUGCUGUCAGAGAGCAACUCGGGAAAAAACACACUUUUCACCCCAAAAUCCCAAUUUUAACUUCCCUAUGCCCAAAUUUGAUCCCAAAGUUUGUCUAAACAUUUAUAUACAUCAAAAGAGACUCAAAACCAUAUAAAACUUGACCAAAAAUAUUAUUUUAGAAAAUCAUCAAUUAACCACUUUUAACCCUAAUUCCCAAAUUCUCAAAAACGAAAACCUACAACAUGUUAAAUCCAAUUUUCAGAAUCAAUGACUUAAGAUUAUUGAAUGUUAGUCCCACCCUUACCUUAUAGAUGAAAAUCGCAGCACUCCUAGGUCUUCCCCCUCCUCUCGGCUUUCUCUCCCUUUUCUCCAAAAUUGAUCGUACGUUAUGUUUUUUCUAAACUAGGUUUCUCCUAUUUAUAACCCUUUUUCUAUUUUAUCUUAUUUCUCUUUCUCCCCCAAAACUCUCUAAAAUCUCAUAACAAACUCUCAACUCAAUCUUAUUUCUAUUUUCAAAUCUUAAUUUAUUAAAUAACAACAUAAGCCACUUAAUAAAUCACAUAAUCAAAUAAAUAUAUUUUAAACUCUUCUUAAUAAAUUUUAGACUCAAUUAAAUAAUUAAAUAAAUCUAAUAAUUCAAAGAGGGCGUUACAACUCCACCCCCCUUAAAAGAAUUUCGUCCUCGAAAUUCAAAGCACACAAGAAAGGAAUUCAAUUAUUGCCUAAACAUCUUAAACCAAACAUAGCCAAAUAGAAACUUCAAACAAAACAUGUAAGCCACAUCAAAGUUAGUCAAUCAAACAUGAUCACAUAAUAAACAUAACAAUUAGUCAGAAAACACAACAACAAUCAAGACAACAUAAGACAGUAUUUCAACUGUCACGCGACUUGACACGACUCAACUACUUGGCCGGAUGGACCGACCUGCUCUGAUACCAAUUGUAACACCCCGUUUUCCCAACAUUAAAAUUUCGCAUAAAUAAUCAGAGUUUUUCAACAUAAACGGAAUGUCACAUUCUUUCCUUAAAAUCCUAAACUGAAUAAAUAACAAUUUAUCAUUUAAAAAUUCAAAUACAAGAUCUUUAAUACUUCGCAGCGGAAUUUAUUCAAUAGCUAAAACAGUCUUUGGCACGAAGGCCUCUUCGUAAAUGUCGCAUAAAAAUCUAAUCUAAAAACAUAGUCAUAAAUCUUCAGAAACAAUACGUAAGGAAUAGAAAAGCAAUAACAAAGUUCUCAUCCCGUUACGUAUCAGAGCACCUAAGACACACGAGAAGGAAAGCUCACACGACAUCAACUAUUCUUGGUUACCUGUUAGUUGCCCAUGGUGGGCAAACAGAAGGGGUGAGAUUUCACAAAAAAUAAUAUUAAGCAUAUAAUUCAUCAAUUACAUUUAACAACAUAAGCAUCAUCAAUCAUAUUUAACAACUCAUAGACAACAUCAUGUAAUCAUCAUAAUAUUCAUCAUAGAUAAUAAUAUAUCAUAAUUCACUUCUUUAAUAGUUCAUAUAAAGAAUCACAGCUUUAAACAAUUUCAUGAUUUAACAACUUAACAACUCGACAACUUGAUAACUUGACAACUUAACCUCUUGACUAUGCAACUUAAUCUUCUAAUCAUGCAUGUGGUACCAAUCUUUGAGCGUAAAUAGGCUCCAGGGCAUCAAGCCCUCAACUUUAUUUGAGCGUAAAAAGGCUCCCAGGGCAUCAAGCCCUCAACUUAAUUGAGCAAAGGCUCCAGGGCAUCAAGCCCCCAACAAUGAAAUGCUAAUGCAUGGACUCGACCUCGUAAUAUCUUAAAUCGACAACCUCUUAUAUAAUCCAAUAAUUUGGAACUUCAUCAUCUUAAUCAACUUAGACCGACUCAUACAGCUUAGUUAAAUAAGAACAGCAUCACAACAGUAUACAAAAACAGCAUGACAUAAUAAUAUCAAAUGCAAGUCAACAACGUCUCAAUUAUUCACAUAUAAUUCAAGUAAUGCAUAUACAAUUAUAUCACAAUAUAACAACAUCAAAUAAUAAUCAACAUCUUAAAACAUCAUAUAUACAUAUAACACUUCAUCAAUCAUGGACAAUAUCGUAUUCACAACAUAUACAUUCAUAUACUAGUUGAUCCAUCAUAUUCAAUUAUUCACUCUGACCUACGUGCAGUAAUUUGAGUAUAAAUCAAGUUCUAUAAAUCAUUUUGAAGUCAAACCAACGGCAUUUGAAAGCUAACAUUUAUACCUACAACUUUCGUGUUUACACCUAAGACCAAUUCUGUACCAAUCAAUACCAGUUUUCAUUUCAAAUUCGGACAAAGUUGUGCUGAAAUUCAUAAAAAUUCACUAAGACCUCCGUGCAGUAAUUUGACCAUAACUCAUAAACCAAAAAUCAUUUUCAAGUCAAACCGACGCCACUGUAAAGCUAACGCAAUUAUCUACAACUUUCAUGUUUACACCAAAGGCUAAUUCAAAACAGAAACGUGUGGAAAAGACGCAAGAACAUGAAACAGGACAUGCUGUCAGAGAGCAACUCGGGAAAAAACACACUUUUCACCCCAAAAUCCCAAUUUUAACUUCCCUAUGCCCAAAUUUGAUCCCAAAGUUUGUCUAAACAUUUAUAUACAUCAAAAGAGACUCAAAACCAUAUAAAACUUGACCAAAAAUAUUAUUUUAGAAAAUCAUCAAUUAACCACUUUUAACCCUAAUUCCCAAAUUCUCAAAAACGAAAACCUACAACAUGUUAAAUCCAAUUUUCAGAAUCAAUGACUUAAGAUUAUUGAAUGUUAGUCCCACCCUUACCUUAUAGAUGAAAAUCGCAGCACUCCUAGGUCUUCCCCCUCCUCUCGGCUUUCUCUCCCUUUUCUCCAAAAUUGAUCGUACGUUAUGUUUUUUCUAAACUAGGUUUCUCCUAUUUAUAACCCUUUUUCUAUUUUAUCUUAUUUCUCUUUCUCCCCCAAAACUCUCUAAAAUCUCAUAACAAACUCUCAACUCAAUCUUAUUUCUAUUUUCAAAUCUUAAUUUAUUAAAUAACAACAUAAGCCACUUAAUAAAUCACAUAAUCAAAUAAAUAUAUUUUAAACUCUUCUUAAUAAAUUUUAGACUCAAUUAAAUAAUUAAAUAAAUCUAAUAAUUCAAAGAGGGCGUUACAACUCCACCCCCCUUAAAAGAAUUUCGUCCUCGAAAUUCAAAGCACACAAGAAAGGAAUUCAAUUAUUGCCUAAACAUCUUAAACCAAACAUAGCCAAAUAGAAACUUCAAACAAAACAUGUAAGCCACAUCAAAGUUAGUCAAUCAAACAUGAUCACAUAAUAAACAUAACAAUUAGUCAGAAAACACAACAACAAUCAAGACAACAUAAGACAGUAUUUCAACUGUCACGCGACUUGACACGACUCAACUACUUGGCCGGAUGGACCGACCUGCUCUGAUACCAAUUGUAACACCCCGUUUUCCCAACAUUAAAAUUUCGCAUAAAUAAUCAGAGUUUUUCAACAUAAACGGAAUGUCACAUUCUUUCCUUAAAAUCCUAAACUGAAUAAAUAACAAUUUAUCAUUUAAAAAUUCAAAUACAAGAUCUUUAAUACUUCGCAGCGGAAUUUAUUCAAUAGCUAAAACAGUCUUUGGCACGAAGGCCUCUUCGUAAAUGUCGCAUAAAAAUCUAAUCUAAAAACAUAGUCAUAAAUCUUCAGAAACAAUACGUAAGGAAUAGAAAAGCAAUAACAAAGUUCUCAUCCCGUUACGUAUCAGAGCACCUAAGACACACGAGAAGGAAAGCUCACACGACAUCAACUAUUCUUGGUUACCUGUUAGUUGCCCAUGGUGGGCAAACAGAAGGGGUGAGAUUUCACAAAAAAUAAUAUUAAGCAUAUAAUUCAUCAAUUACAUUUAACAACAUAAGCAUCAUCAAUCAUAUUUAACAACUCAUAGACAACAUCAUGUAAUCAUCAUAAUAUUCAUCAUAGAUAAUAAUAUAUCAUAAUUCACUUCUUUAAUAGUUCAUAUAAAGAAUCACAGCUUUAAACAAUUUCAUGAUUUAACAACUUAACAACUCGACAACUUGAUAACUUGACAACUUAACCUCUUGACUAUGCAACUUAAUCUUCUAAUCAUGCAUGUGGUACCAAUCUUUGAGCGUAAAUAGGCUCCAGGGCAUCAAGCCCUCAACUUUAUUUGAGCGUAAAAAGGCUCCCAGGGCAUCAAGCCCUCAACUUAAUUGAGCAAAGGCUCCUGGGCAUCAAGCCCCCAACAAUGAAAUGCUAAUGCAUGGACUCGACCUCGUAAUAUCUUAAAUCGACAACCUCUUAUAUAAUCCAAUAAUUUGGAACUUCAUCAUCUUAAUCAACUUAGACCGACUCAUACAGCUUAGUUAAAUAAGAACAGCAUCACAACAGUAUACAAAAACAGCAUGACAUAAUAAUAUCAAAUGCAAGUCAACAACGUCUCAAUUAUUCACAUAUAAUUCAAGUAAUGCAUAUACAAUUAUAUCACAAUAUAACAACAUCAAAUAAUAAUCAACAUCUUAAAACAUCAUAUAUACAUAUAACACUUCAUCAAUCAUGGACAAUAUCGUAUUCACAACAUAUACAUUCAUAUACUAGUUGAUCCAUCAUAUUCAAUUAUUCACUCUGACCUACGUGCAGUAAUUUGAGUAUAAAUCAAGUUCUAUAAAUCAUUUUGAAGUCAAACCAACGGCAUUUGAAAGCUAACAUUUAUACCUACAACUUUCGUGUUUACACCUAAGACCAAUUCUGUACCAAUCAAUACCAGUUUUCAUUUCAAAUUCGGACAAAGUUGUGCUGAAAUUCAUAAAAAUUCACUAAGACCUCCGUGCAGUAAUUUGACCAUAACUCAUAAACCAAAAAUCAUUUUCAAGUCAAACCGACGCCACUGUAAAGCUAACACAAUUAUCUACAACUUUCAUGUUUACACCAAAGGCUAAUUCAAAACAGAAACGUGUGGAAAAGACGCAAGAACAUGAAACAGGACAUGCUGUCAGAGAGCAACUCGGGAAAAAACACACUUUUCACCCCAAAAUCCCAAUUUUAACUUCCCUAUGCCCAAAUUUGAUCCCAAAGUUUGUCUAAACAUUUAUAUACAUCAAAAGAGACUCAAAACCAUAUAAAACUUGACCAAAAAUAUUAUUUUAGAAAAUCAUCAAUUAACCACUUUUAACCCUAAUUCCCAAAUUCUCAAAAACGAAAACCUACAACAUGUUAAAUCCAAUUUUCAGAAUCAAUGACUUAAGAUUAUUGAAUGUUAGUCCCACCCUUACCUUAUAGAUGAAAAUCGCAGCACUCCUAGGUCUUCCCCCUCCUCUCGGCUUUCUCUCCCUUUUCUCCAAAAUUGAUAGUACGUUAUGUUUUUUCUAAACUAGGUUUCUCCUAUUUAUAACCCUUUUUCUAUUUUAUCUUAUUUCUCUUUCUCCCCCAAAACUCUCUAAAAUCUCAUAACAAACUCUCAACUCAAUCUUAUUUCUAUUUUCAAAUCUUAAUUUAUUAAAUAACAACAUAAGCCACUUAAUAAAUCACAUAAUCAAAUAAAUAUAUUUUAAACUCUUCUUAAUAAAUUUUAGACUCAAUUAAAUAAUUAAAUAAAUCUAAUAAUUCAAAGAGGGCGUUACAUCACCCGUCUCUCUCCCUAUCUCACGAAUCAGAAAUCAACCACAGUCUUCCCCAUCUCACCAUCUUCUCUAUGUCGUUGAGUGACCAUAAAAUUUUGAUUCGAAAGCGUCUGGGCCGGCGAAUUCAGCAGUGAAUUUUCUCCUCCAGCAACCUCUCUAGGUCUCUCCGUCCUCCAAGUCUGUUGACACUAUUUCAAUCAUUGACUUCUACUCCAACCCGAUACUUUUUCUCUUUGAUAAACUGUUAUGAAUCAAUUUUAUUUUUUUUU
rnacentral:lncRNA from 1 species